rnacentral:rRNA from 1 species
GGCUAUACAUGCAGUCGAGCGCGGGAAGCAGGCAGAUCCUCUUCGGAGGUGACGCCUGUGGAACGAGCGGCGGACGGGUGAGUAACACGUGGGCAACCUGCCUGUAAGACUGGGAUAACCCCGGGAAACCGGGGCUAAUACCGGAUAAUACUUUUCGUUGCAUAACGAGAAGUUGAAAGGCGGCUUUUAGCUGUCACUUACAGAUGGGCCCGCGGCGCAUUAGCUAGUUGGUAAGGUAACGGCUUACCAAGGCGACGAUGCGUAGCCGACCUGAGAGGGUGAUCGGCCACACUGGGACUGAGACACGGCCCAGACUCCUACGGGAGGCAGCAGUAGGGAAUCUUCCGCAAUGGACGAAAGUCUGACGGAGCAACGCCGCGUGAGUGAUGAAGGUUUUCGGAUCGUAAAACUCUGUUGUCAGGGAAGAACAAGUGCCGUUCGAAUAGGGCGGCACCUUGACGGUACCUGACCAGAAAGCCCCGGCUAACUACGUGCCAGCAGCCGCGGUAAUACGUAGGGGGCAAGCGUUGUCUGGAAUUAUUGGGCGUAAAGCGCGCGCAGGCGGUCCUUUAAGUCUGAUGUGAAAGCCCACGGCUUAACCGUGGAGGGCCAUUGGAAACUGGAGGACUUGAGUACAGAAGAGGAGAGUGGAAUUCCACGUGUAGCGGUGAAAUGCGUAGAGAUGUGGAGGAACACCAGUGGCGAAGGCGACUCUCUGGUCUGUAACUGACGCUGAGGUGCGAAAGCGUGGGGAGCGAACAGGAUUAGAUACCCUGGUAGUCCACGCCGUAAACGAUGAGUGCUAGGUGUUAGGGG